GAUGAACGCUGGCGGCGUGCCUAAUACAUGCAAGUCGAGCGAACAGAUGAGAAGCUUGCUUCUCUGAUGUUAGCGGCGGACGGGUGAGUAACACGUGGGUAACCUACCUAUAAGACUGGGAUAACUCCGGGAAACCGGGGCUAAUACCGGAUAAUAUUUUGAACCGCAUGGUUCAAUAGUGAAAGACGGUUUCGGCUGUCACUUAUAGAUGGACCCGCGCCGUAUUAGCUAGUUGGUAAGGUAACGGCUUACCAAGGCGACGAUACGUAGCCGAGCUGAGAGGGUGAUCGGCCACACUGGAACUGAGACACGGUCCAGACUCCUACGGGAGGCAGCAGUGGGGAAUUUUUCGCAAUGGGCGAAAGCCUGACGAAGCAACGCCGCGUGGAGGAUGAAGGUCUUCGGAUUGUAAACUCCUGUCGACCGGGACGAAUGCACCCGACCUAAUACGUCGGAGUGUUGACGGUACCGGUGGAGGAAGCCACGGCUAACUCUGUGCCAGCCGCCGCAGUAA
rnacentral:rRNA from 1 species